rnacentral:ncRNA from 2 species
UUAUUGACGGUGAUGGGGAGCAGUAAGCGGUGUAACCCGGCAGAGAGCCGCCGGUUGGUGCAAGGCGGUGGGCCAAAUUGCUGAAUCUCGCCCCGGAGUUGUUUGGGGGAAAUAUAUUACCUUAAACCGGGUAUGCCCGUUACAGCUUUUAAGGGGAUAAGUCAUUUGCUUAUCAACCGGGGUGGUACCGCGGGAGUAACCUCUCGUCCCUAUG